rnacentral:rRNA from 1 species
UUUGUAAUGGCGAGUAAUAUUUACUAUCCUGUAGGAAAACUCGGGCGACCGCUGUAAUAUUUCUCUUUAAAACAGAGGAAGAUUGCGGCAAUAACAGGUCUGUGAUGCCCUCAGAUGUCCCGGGCCGCACACGUGCUACAUUGAUUAGCGCAGUGCGCAUACUUUCAAUAUGAUACAUUAGAUUGGAUUGUUCUGUUGAGCUCCAUCUAAUACUAUCCGGCUUGAGAAGGCUGGGUAAUCAAUUGUAAGUGCUGGUUCCUCCUCCCGUUGAGCAUUUUAAUAAUGGCCUCUCUACAUCCCUAGCAAUAUGCCUAGUGCGAUUGUAGUUGAGCCUUGCCAUUUAUGCAAGUGUCAAUUCUCAGUGGGGACAGACAUUUGAUAAUUCUUUGUCUCGUUCUUAACUAGGAAUGCCUUGUACGGGUCUUGGUUCAACAGACCACCCGGAAUACGUCCCUGCCCUUUGUACACACCGCCCGUCGCUCUUACCGAUGAAUUUCCCUGUGAGUUUGAAGGACUGAUGGUUGCAAAAUCAUUGGAAAUUCUGUC